GACGAAGGUGGCGAGCGUUGUUCGGAAUCACUGGGCUUAAAGCGCACGUAGGUGGCGGCGUAAGUCGGGUGUGAAAUCCCUCGGCCUAACCGAGGAACUGCGCCCGAUACUGCGUUGCUUGAGGGUCAAAGGGGUGCAUGGAAUUCCCGGUGGAGCGGUGAAAUGCGUUGAUAUCGGGAGGAACGCCGGCGGCGAAAGCGGUGCACUGGUUGACUGCUGACACUCAUGUGCGAAAGCCAGGGGAGCAAACGGG
rnacentral:rRNA from 1 species